GCAGCUCUGAGUGCUGGCAACCCUCAGGGCCAGUCCUGCUUCCACACUGUCCAGCACCUCUCCCUCCUACCCACCUUGUGAGCCGGUGACUCAGUGCCAUGGUGAGCACUGACUAACGGGCAGCCAGCAUCUGCUUGAGGCCCAGGCUCACCAGGAGAUUAACCCGGCAGGCUGCUGUGAGAAGGGACAGAGACGGCUCUGACAGGAGGCCCAGGAUGCAAGGGAAGGCCAAACAAAUCUACCUGCUUAAGGAAGACUCUUCCUCUGACGGCCACCUUGAGACUUUGUCCAGCAGAAAUCUCUGGCAAGUGUUAUCCCAGCCACUCAUGUGGCACUGGGCCGUCUAUGACUUCCUGAUGACAUUACUCUACAUCAUUUUGUUCACAGUGCUGUUUGACAACUUUGUGUGACCACCUCUCUCACUCCAAAUAAAGCUGAGCAAAGGA